GAGUUUGAUCAUGGCUCAGGAUGAACGCUGGCGGCGUGCCUAACACAUGCAAGUCGAGCGGGAAAUUCCUAAUUGAAACUUCGGUCGAAAGAGGGGAUGGAGAGCGGCGGACGGGUGAGUAACGCGUAGGCAACCUGCCCUUUGCAGAGGGAUAGCCAUUGGAAACGAUGAUUAAAACCUCAUAACACUUUUUUGUCACAUGGCAAGGAGGUCAAAGAUUUAUCGGCAAAGGAUGGGCCUGCGUCUGAUUAGCUAGUUGGUGGGGUAACGGCCUACCAAGGCGACGAUCAGUAGCCGACCUGAGAGGGUGAACGGCCACAUUGGAACUGAGACACGGUCCAAACUCCUACGGGAGGCAGCAGUGGGGAAUAUUGCACAAUGGGCGAAAGUCUGAUGCAGCAACGCCGCGUGAGCGAAGAAGGUCUUCGGAUUGUAAAGCUCUGUCCUAGGGGAAGAAGAAAAUGACGGUACCCUUGGAGGAAGCCCCGGCUAACUACGUGCCAGCAGCCGCGGUAAUACGUAGGGGGCAAGCGUUAUCCGGAAUUAUUGGGCGUAAAGAGUGCGUAGGUGGUUACCUAAGCAGGGGGUGAAAGGCAAUGGCUCAACCAUUGUUAGCCCUCUGAACUGGGUUACUUGAGUGCAGGAGAGGAAAGCGGAAUUCCUAGUGUAGCGGUGAAAUGCGUAGAUAUUAGGAGGAACACCAGUGGCGAAGGCGGCUUUCUGGACUGAAACUGACACUGAGGCACGAAAGUGUGGGGAGCAAACAGGAUUAGAUACCCUGGUAGUCCACACCGUAAACGAUGAGCACUAGGUGUCGGGGUCGCAAGGCUUCGGUGCCGGAGUUAACGCAUUAAGUGCUCCGCCUGGGGAGUACGUACGCAAGUAUGAAACUCAAAGGAAUUGACGG
rnacentral:rRNA from 1 species